GAAAAACUUCAAAUCAUGAAGGAAAAGAAGGGACAGGAAGUAAAAUGAGCUGCAGUCGACCAUCCUCAUUCUCAAAAGGCCAAGCAAAGGGUCAAGGGCUGAGGUCACUGCAUCUAAAAAUGGGUGUUACACCCAGGCCUGCCGUGGAUAAAUAUUCAACUUCCUUCCGUAGUAAAACCAUUGAAAAAGGAAUCUUAGAGCUAGAAAAUUAACCUCAAGUGUAUGUGACCCAGACACUGUCCCUGAGCAGGGAAUAUCUAGGGAGACCAUGGUCCAGGGCAGUGCUUCUUAAAUGAUGUGAGUUUCACGAUCCUGGGGGGGAAGAGUCCACCACUUAAAGGAAGUAUUAAGGGAAGACUCCAGGUGCUCUGACCAAGAAAUGUGCCCAGAGGGCUGUUGCCCUGUUUCUAGGCUGCCAGGUGGUUGUCUCACUGCCUUUGCGACCGUCAACCCCGAACAAAAGGAGAACUAAGUGAAGGAGAAGUGAAGAAGAAACAGGAGGGCAACUGGAAGUGUUUGUGACCGUUGCCCUAGCAAUCCAGUUCCGCAGGAGGCCCACCCUGGCUGGAAAGGAAGGCUGAAGCAUGCGGUUGACCAGAGGGAGAACGGGGACUUCUCUGAUGAUUUUCCUUGAGGCUCAUCAUCUAAACACACACUACUGUUUCCCCCUGGGCUUCUCAUGCAAGGAUAUACGGUAUUUCAUGUGAGGAAUGUUC